AGGGCUACAAUGGCACCAUCUUUGCCUACGGCCAGCGGGAAGUCAUUCACCACACAGGGGUCGUGGAUCCUUCCUCACAGAAGGGGAUCAUUCCAGAGGGAUUGAACACAUCCUCGAGAGCAUCCAGUGUGCUGGAAGUGCCGAGUUCCCCAGGAGAGCCUCCUACCUGGAGAUCUGCAGUGAGACCUUCUGGGAGCUGACACCAAGCAGAAGCUGGAGCUGAGCACCAGAACACGAGAGUCAAGUGAGGAAUAUGGAAGCCAAGAGGAGAUUUUGGGGGACUUUGGUGGAAGUUCAGAAGCAGGAUCCAUUCGUGCCCAGUGUAUCCCACAUGACAGUGGGAUGGGACAGUGGCCAGGAGCUCAGCAGCAGCUCUGUGAAAAUCCUUUACUGGGCAAAGGUGGAAUAAAGUGCUCAUGGGGCAAUUUCCUCCUCAUCCUCUUCAUCUCACAGUCGUCUCUAAAGCAGGAGGAUUCAGAGCAUUAUCCAUGUUUAAUCUGAUCCAGUGGAGCCGUGGAUGAUCUCAUUAUCUGCCUAAACCAAAAGAGCUCAUCCUUUCUGAGGGGACACAGCAGAUAUUACUCCCCAUGGGAACGUGUGGGGAAGUUUCCAGGACCACAGGAGGGUAAACUCUCCCAAAAUCCUAAUCAAGGGGUUGAUCUUUAUUAAGUUUACCUCUUGGUGGCUUUGCAGAUCCUUUUGCACGUAUUGCUGGAGGGAGCUGCACAUCUGCUGUCCUGAUUUACUUGUCUGGUGAAUAAAACCAGGGCAGGAGCACCAUGAGAUGCACUGGGAUGGCAACAGACCCAAACUGACUUAUGGGGCAGGUAUUUUUGAGAGGUUUCUGGCUCCGAGGGAGGCAAACCCCUCUCUGCCUCACGUUCCAGGCGUGCCUCGCCUGUCGUGUGCGGAGGGAGGGUGGGAGAAGGGGACUUCUGGCUGCAGUUUCCCAUCCUUUGUUCCACAUCGGCGGUGACACGGGUUUCCAUGGCAACGCAGUUGGCACUGGGAGGGCAGGAGCUGGGCAGAGCAGUUUCCAGGGUAACACUGUCACACUGCCUGUUGCUGCCUCCACCGAGGAACUGAGGGAGUCGUGUCCUGCUUCUGUGUUCCCCAAUUCUCCCCCAAAAUCCCGUUUUUGUUCAUUCCUUCGCCUCUCACUCCCAGUGACUGUCCUGUCCUUGGCUGGGUGUUCCUCGGGGACACCCCCAAACACAGCCAGGCCAGUCCUGGGUUCUCCUGCAGCACAGACCAGUCACAGUGUAUGAACAGUCGGUCUGUGGCUGUACCUGGAUCCAUCCUGGGCAGCCACACCUUUGGAAUGAGGCUAAAUCCCACCCAGUUUAGUUUUCAGCCACUUCUGCUCUGUUGUGUGCAGACUUUUUAACAACCCUAUUUUAUAGAAUCACAGAAUCACUGAGGCUGGAAAAGACCCUCAGGAUCAUCGAGUCCAACCUUCGGCCCAUCCCCGCCCUGUCCCCAGCCCAGAGCCCUGAGUGCCACGGCCAGUCCUUCCCUGGGCACCUCCAGGGAUGGGGACUCCACCACUGCCCCUGGCAGCCUCUUCCAGAGUUUAAUCCCCCUUUCCAUGAAGAAAUUCCUCCUGAUGUCCACCCUGAACCUCCCCUGCAGCAGCUUGAGACUACGUCCUCUGGUGCUGGAUGAGAGAAACAAGGCUUUUUGGUGGCAGCCAGAUGGAAGUGCCCAAGGCCAGGUUGGAUGGGGUUUGGAGCAACCUGGGAUAGUGGAAGGUGUCCCUGCCAAGUGCAAGUCAGAUAAUUUCACCCAAUGAUCCCUUCAUUGAGCUCUGUGUAUCUUUUUUACAGAUGGAAUAAAAGAACCUUUUAAUGAC